GCAGAUAUGUAAUGGACAAGAAUUUCAGUGCACGACGAAGGGAAAUAUAUUCUGCUGCACAUAAGGCAGGAACUGAAGUAUUCUUGAAGAGCCCGAAAAAUCAUAAAAAGGGUGUAGCUCUAGAUACAAUGACUCAAAAGAUAAAUGGAUGAGUAUAUGGGAGCGUGGCGAUUAUACUGCAACGAUGGUGUCAAUGAUCCGAUUCAUGAUGAUUAUGAUGACAUAUGCAUUUAGUUUUAGUUAUGUUGUAGGGAUGACGUUCCUGUCGGAUGUUGUUCCUCAGUUAAGAUUGAUAUUUUUAGUUUAACUUUUGCUGUCAAGAAAAUUGUUAGAUUAUGCAUCACAUUUGGAUGAUGUUCCUCCUGUAAUAUCCACUAUUGUAAUCCAACAGUUUUGAUCUGAUAUAUUAUGAUUUGUUCC